rnacentral:rRNA from 1 species
AGUCGAGCGAGAAGACGUAACAAUACGUUUGUAAAGCGGCGAACGGGUGAGGAAUACAUGGGUAACCUACCCUAGAGUGGGGAAUAACUAGCCGAAAGGUUAGCUAAUACCGCGUACGCUCCCUGGACUUCGGUUCAGGGGGGAAAGCGCUACCGAGGGUAGCGCGCUCUUGGAUGGGCUCAUGUCCUAUCAGCUUGUUGGUGAGGUAACGGCUCACCAAGGCUUCGACGGGUAGCUGGUCUGAGAGGACGAUCAGCCACACUGGCACUGCGACACGGGCCAGACUCCUACGGGAGGCAGCAGUAAGGAAUAUUGCGCAAUGGGCGAAAGCCUGACGCAGCGACGCCGCGUGGGGGAUGAAGGUCUUCGGAUUGUAAACCCCUUUCGGGAGGGAAGAUGGAGUGGGGUAACCCACUCGGACGGUACCUCCAGAAGCAGCCACGGCUAACCUCGUGCCAGCAGCCGCGGUAAUACGAAGGUGGCAAGCGUUAUUCGGAUUUACUGGGCGUACAGGGAGCGUAGGCGGUUCGGUAAGCCCUCUGUGAAAUCUUCAGGCUUAACCUGGAAAAGUCGGAGGGGACUGCCGGGCUAGAGGACGGGAGAGGAGCGCGGAAUUCCCGGUGUAGCGGUGAAAUGCGUAGAGAUCGGGAGGAAGGCCGGUGGCGAAGGCGGCGCUCUGGAACGUUUCUGACGCUGAGGC